rnacentral:rRNA from 1 species
AUACGUAGGUGACAAGCGUUAUCCGGAUUUACUGGGCGUAAGGGGCGUGUAGGCGGUCUUGCAAGUCAGAAGUGAAAUUCCUGAGCUCAACUCGGGCGCUGCUUCUGAAACUGCAGGACUUGAGUGCUGGAGGGGAUAGCGGAAUUCCUAGUGGAGCGGUAAAAUGCGCAGAUAUUAGGAAGAACACCGGUGGCGAAGGCGGCUAUCUGGGCAGUAACGGACGCUGAGGCGCGAAAGCGGGGGGAGCAAACAGGAUUAGAGACCCUGGUAGUCCCCGCCGUAAACGAUGAAUACUAGGUGUAGGGGGUAUCGACUCCCUCUGUGCCGCAGUUAACACAAUAAGUAUUCCGCCUGGGGAGUGCGGCCGCAAGGGUGAAACACAAAGAAAUUGACGGGG